rnacentral:rRNA from 1 species
GUGGGGAAUCUUCCGCAAUGGACGAAAGUCUGACGGAGCAACGCCGCGUGAGUGAAGAAGGUUUUCGGAUCGUAAAGCUCUUUCGUUAGGGACGAACGUGCUCUUUGUGAAUAAUGAGGAGUAAUGACGGUACCUAAAUAAGAAGCCACGGCUAACUACGUGCCAGCAGCCGCGGUAAUACGUAGGUGGCAAGCGUUGUCCGGAAUUCUUGGGCGUAAAGCGCGCGCAGGCGGGAUAUCAAGUCUGUCUUAAAAGUGCGAGGCUCAACCUCGGGAGGGGACAGAAACUGGUAUUCUUGAGUGUCGGAGAUGAAAGUGGAAUUCCGAGUGUAGCGGUGAAAUGCGUAGAGAUUUGGAAGAACACCAGGGGCGAAGGCGACUUUCUGGACGAUGUCUGACGCUGAGGCGCGAAAGCUAGGGGAGCGAACGGGAUUAGAAACCCCGGUAGUCC